rnacentral:lncRNA from 1 species
AUGAUCUUCAGGCUUUGCCUAAUCAGGUGGGCUUACUUUCCAAAUGUAUAAAGUAUGAUUGAGUUAUUAAGCUCUAAAUGUUUCAAUGAAAUGCAAAUUAUUUAUUCAAUGAAAUGCAAACUGUUUAUCCAAUAAAAUGUUUAUGUGCACUCUGCUCUGUUUAAGGCUCGCCACAACGAAUCAAUUGAGGUUCUCUUAUGACCUAACACGUUGUUUGAGAAUUGUGUACACUCGUUAGCUGACCUGGUGGGUUGAUCUCCAUCGGGCACUAACUAAGAGGCGUUAUAAGGGUGCUUGCUGGAUGUGUUCCGAAGCAUGUAAUGUAAGGGCCUGCCUGGGUAGCGUCCCGAGGUCAAAAGUAAACUUGUCUGGGUUACGCCCUCAGUUCAAGUAAAUGGGAGAAACGGAUCCGUCGGUGGCUAGAGGUCCGGGAUCACAGCGAGUAACAGAAAGGGAGUGUGACAUGUGCGCACAAAUGAAAGAAAAUGUUUUAACAUGCUUAGAAGUUCUUUCAAUUUAAAACCUUCUAAGUCAUGUCAAGUAUGAUUGGAUAAACUGUCUUUACGAAAAUAUAAAAUGUUUCAGAAAAUGCAUGCCCACUAAGUACAUUAGUACUUAGCGCAAAUUUACUUUCAAGUUUUCAGGUUGGCUGGACGGUGCUGACGGGACGGAGCUGAGGCUAAAGAUAAAUUCCUAUGUUAGACUUCCGCUGUAGCAAUUACUCAUAUCCAUCUUUUGUUUUCCCAACUUAAGAUCUUCAUGUUAAAUUUCAAAUGAUAUAUUUGACCGAGCUUAGACUCUUCACUACUAAAUUUAUGCUAAUGAAUGUUGGUUGUCAGAAGCAUGAAACAAAACUUGUGAUCCAAAUGGGCAUAGCCCGACUUUCCAUCCUAUUUCGGGUUUUAACAAGAUUUUUCCCUUGUUUAUUUCUAUGAAUUAUUCACACCUCGAUUAUAUUUAUUCAUUCAA